rnacentral:lncRNA from 1 species
ACGGAAGGACUGGUGAGGUCGAGCCUGUGCCUGGUCGCGUCAAGCGCCGGAUUGGGUGCGGCAACUCGGUAUUGGCGGACAGGAGGGAGAGAGGGGCACUGCAGGCGAGGGUGCUGCAGGCGAGGUGACAGGGCGAGCGAUGCGACGCGAGCAUGCGCGUACUAGCGGCUCUGCCGCGGCACACGACUGGCGAGGCGGGGGAAAAAGAGUUGUCACUGCCUGCGCGGUGGUUGGCGAAGGCGGUAUCGUCACGGGGCGCGCGCGUGGGCAGCGCGACUGAGGUAUGACGGAAAAGCCGGAAGGAGUUGGGGCGCGGGCGGGGAUCCUGGUGAGGAGAUGCACACGGGAGGCGAGGCAGACUAGCGCGGCCAAAUCUUCGGUCGCAGCAGCGGCAGCUUCGGCGCGCGAUUGGGAAGGAGGCGCGCUGAUCCAUCGUGUUGCGGCCAGCGACUGGGCGAGACGAUGAGGUCACACCACGUGGCGGCGGCACUCUGAAAUAGGGCGCACGCAAGCUCUGGCGCGCUUGGCUCGAGAGAUCCACGGGAUCCUUUUUCUGGAUCCAUUUUCCAGCCUCUUGAUCUCCCAAGUUCCAAUCUUCACCACUUUGACUCCCUUAACAAGAGUUGUAGAACACCAGCUAAGGUCCAACUUUUGUAAUUGGAUCGAGCUCAAAGACGCAGUGGAUUCGUAGAUCCAAAGCUCCAAAGUUGGAAGGAACACUGGUUUCGGGACUUAAAGAAAACGACGGUUUGCUGGGUUUCAGGGGUCGGGGCUGAUUUGAACUGCAGAUUUGGGAAGUUUCAGAGAUGGAUUGGAGCAAGGUCCAAUUAACAAAGCUAAAGCAGGGACUUCGUUCUCCAACUUCUAACAAGAGUUUUCUUGGUGUCCUGCUCAACUUUCCAAAGAUAAACCCUCCCUAAGGCGCUAGGUUGGGUUGAAAACCAGACUUAGCCGGUAUAGCUCAAGAAAAGCUGAGUCAACCAGAUUAGGGAACUUGUUUUAAGAUUAAACUCGGCUUAUUUAAUCCAGAUCAUUACACCAUCCCGCGUGGGGGUCGGGCUCCGCGUCGCCGGUGACCGCAGGCGCCGCAUCUCACCGUCCAGCGCCUCCCGCACGGCCUCCGAUGCCUUCAGUUGCUCGCCCUCCGCCGACCCUGCCUCCUCCGCCCGGCCCUGUCGGCGUGCCAUGCUGCCUCCGCAAGCCCCGCCUCCUUGCGCCAGAUCCGCCUCGCCUGCUCUGGAGGUCGAAUGUGAUGGUGGCCGGUAGCCGCCCGAGCUCCGCCGGCACCCCAUCGAAGAGGUGCUUCCCAAACAGGCGGGCAGCGGGAGCGAUGGGCGGAGCGAGGAAGAAGGCGGAGAUGGCGCGCGGGUGGAGCGCGUGGAAGGCGAGCGGGGGGAAAGGGAGCACUGGGAGGGGCAGUGCGCCGGCGAGGGAAGAGGGAAAAGGAGGGGCACUUGGGUCAUUUGCCACCAAAUAUGCUAAACUUUAGCAUACUAUCCAAACACCUUAAGAUGCUAAAGUUUAACACUCCAUUUGAGGGUGUUAAACUUUAACACCUUGUUAAACUUUAACACCCCCUUCUCAAACAGGGCCUAAAUGCGACGGUGUUUUGAACUUUGCUCACUUUCGAGCAGAGGGGUGUUUGGAUUCUUGCUAAAGCUUAGCUCGGGUCGAAUGUUUGGAGGUUAAUUAGGAUCAUUAAAUGUAGACUAAUGAUAAAAAUAAUUGUAUAAAUGAGGGCUAAUUCGCGAGAUGAUUAAAUGUAGACUAAUGAUAAAAAAUAAUUGUAUAAAUGAGGGCUAAUUCGCGAGAUGAAUCCAUUAAGCCUAAUUAAUCUAUGAUUAGCACAUGUUUACAGUAACAUCACAUGUGAUAAUCGUGAACUAAUUAUGUUUAAUGGAUUCAUCUUGCAAAUUAGCUCCCAUUUAUGUAAUUAUUUUUAUUAUUAGCUUAUGUUUAAUCUUCCUAAUUGGUAUCAAAUAUCCGAUGUGACCUGAGCUAAACUUUAACAAGGAACCAAACACUCCCUUAGCAGAUUUUAGCUACUCUUGGCUGGCUAAUGGCUAAAGUUCUUUUUGGGCUUGGGCUAAAAUUUAGCAAUGUUAGUGAGCUAAAAUUUAGUCCACUAACUUUUAGCAAAGGGAACCGCCUGAGUUGUUGUCUACUGGUGUGGUGCGGACAAUGGCUGCAUUCGUCAAUUUGUGACUAGUAGUGGUUCUUGUUGGUUUGCAGUACGAGUAGACUUGGCACCGACUACUUGUGCAGAUGCCGUGUGGGCCUGCAUUAGCAAUGCGGAGACCAGCCAGUCAAACCUAUUUCGGCGGCAGGCCGGCAGCUUCUUCUCUUCCACUCGCUGACCCGCGGCCGGUUCCUCUUCACCACGUCCAUUCUUUCCAUUCCUCUUGGCAUUGGCAACAAGCAACGUUCGAUUGCCAGCCGGCACAGGGUUCAGCCAUGGAUGCCGCUGCUUUCCUCUACUCCUCCCGUCUUCCAAUUCCAAUUUGGCUCGCCAUCUCCGUCCUCGUGGCGUUCCUCCUCCCUGUCGUGCUCACCCAGGACCCCAACCUCUGCGCGACCAAGGCGAACGGCAGGUACGCCUGCCCCCUCCUGCUCCACCUCCACCUCCAGCCGCGGCGUCGCCUUCGAGGCCAACCUGCUCCGCCUCCGGGACUCCCUCCGGGACAUGGCCGCCGCCAACGCCAGCUUCCUCAACGCCACCUUCGGCGCGGGAGGGGACGGCGGGGACACGGUGUACGGCCUCGCCACGUGCCUCGCGGACGUCGAGAUGCCGGCCUGCGCCGCCUGCCUGGCGGGCGCGGCCGCCGAGGUGGCGGGGACGCGAUGCGGGAGCCGCAGGGACAUGGUGCUCUGGUACCCGCAAUGCCUCGUGCGCUACGACAACACUAGCUUCUUCGGCGCCGCAGACACGUCAGCCGACCGCCGCCUCAGCGUGCCCAACCCGAACAACUUCUCCGACCCGGCGGUCCUCGGCGAGGCGCGCGAGAGGCUGGGCGGCCGGAUGCUCGCCGCGGCGGCGGGAUCGCCGGUCCGGCUCGCGUUCGGCGACGAGCGGGUCACCGCCAACACGACGCUGCACGGGCUGGCGCAGUGCACGGAGGACCUGACCGCCGAGGAGUGCACCCGCUGCCUGGCGACGCACAUGGUCUGGCUUGGCGUCUGCUGCGCGGACAUGGACGGCGUCCGGCUCAUCGGGCCCAGCUGCUACCUGCGCUACGAACUCUUUGCGUUCGAGCCCGCCACGACGCCGUCCAUGGCGCCGCUCGCCGAACCGCCGCCGCCAUCUGCACCAGGAGCUCCUUCUGGGACUGGGACUGGGAGCUCCUCAUCCUCGAAGAAAAAGACCAGGAGCUGUGAGUAUCCGAUUAUUGUCAAUUGGAUUCUGUUUCGAUCCUCUUGGCUCAUCGACCAUCGCAAAUGCGAAUUUGUGAUUUGUUGAUGCAGACGUACUAGCAGGAGCAUUGGGUGGAGUGCUGGUUCUUCUUCUCGGGGCUUGCCUAAUAACAACAUGGUGGUACAAGAAGAAGGGAUCGUCAGGCAGGAAGAGGAUGGAGUCGCUUCUGCAGCAGCACCAGCAGUAUCCGCGGAGGUACAGCUACGCGCAGCUGAAGCGGAUGACCGGAUCCUUUGCGCACAAGCUGGGCCAGGGCGGCAAUGGCGAGGUGUACAAGGGAAGCCUACCCGACGGGCGCGAGGUGGCGGUGAAGAUGCUCAAGGAGGCCAAGGUGGACGGCGAGGAGUUCAUUAACGAGGUGGCCAGCAUCAGCCGGACCUCGCAUGUGAACGUGGUCACGCUACUGGGCUUCUGCCUGGAAGGAUCGGGGCCCAGAUCCAAGAGGGGCCUUGUCUACGAGUUCAUGCCCAACGGCUCGCUGGAGAGGUACACCGCCGGCGGCGACCUCGGGUGGGAGCAGCUGCUGGGCAUCGCCGUGGGCAUCGCGCGGGGGCUCGAGUACCUCCACCGCGGGUGCAACGCCCACAUCGUGCACUUCGACAUCAAGCCCCACAACAUCCUCCUGGACGCGGAGCUCCGCCCCAAGAUCUCCGACUUCGGGCUGGCCAAGCUGCGGCCCCAGAGGGACAGCACCAUCCCCGUGUCCAUUACCGGGGCCAGGGGCACCGUCGGCUACAUCGCGCCGGAGGUGUUCUCCAGGCAGGUCGGGUUGGGGGCGGUUACCAGCAAGUCCGACGUCUACAGCUAUGGCAUGAUGGUGCUGGAGAUGGUCGGUGCAAGGAGGACCACCGUCAACAAUGGUGUGGGUUCGGUAACCACCGGGGCGAGCAGCGGCAGCAGCAGCUACUUCCCGGAGUGCCUGUACCAAGAUCUGGACGGGUUCUGCGCGAGCGCCUGUGGGCCUGACGAGAAGGUGGGCACUGCGGAGGUGGUGAGGAAGAUGGUGAUCGUCGGCCUCUGGUGCAUCCGGAUGUCUCCUUCCGAUCGCCCGUCCAUGAGCAGGGUCGUCGAGAUGUUGGAGAAGACCACGCCGGAGCUAGAACUGCCGCCAGAGGCACGGGCAGCAGAGGCAGCAGGCAGCACAGGAGCAGCAGCCUCUUCUUGACUCUCCUUCGUGGAGAACGUGUGGCCCGACAAACGCAUAAGGCGGCCCACUUGACUUGGUCUGGCCCAUGCGCGCCUCGUAGGCCAGCCACAAUUGAUGAUCUCCCUCUCUUGCGCGCAUCUUUUUUUUUUUGACUGAAACCGCGUCGCUGUCCUGUCAAAAUAUUGUGCCACGUGAUGCUGAUGUCACAUAUAAAUUAUGAGCCGUACGAUAUCAAAAUAUUGUGCCACGUCAAUCUGAUGUCACUACCUUGUUAGAGUUAUUGUUAUCCACAAGCCGUUCUACCUUUUUUUUUAAAAAAAAACGAGAUUGCACAACUGACUUGGUUGGGCUUUUCGGCCGAACAAGCCCAUAAGGCGGCCCAUAUGACGGAUUUGUAAUUUAGCAUGUGUUUUAUUUUGGGACGAAGUGGGUUGGGUUGGAGCCGACCCACUUUUGCGGGUUGGAGCUAACCCAUCUUAUGUUUGGAUGAAUGGUUGGAGCCGACCUAGUAUUUUGUUUGGUUGGAGAGGUUGAGAAGGUUGGAUGGAUGUCCUUUUAACACCGUUAGUGGUGGGUCCCACCUGUCAACCGUAGGACCUACCUGUCAGCCUCUGUUUUUUUCCCUCUCCCUCCCAUCUUCUUCCUCCUCUCCUCCCGCACGGCUCCUCCCCGGCCGGUCCUCAGCCGCCGACGCGCCCCCCCCCCCGAUCCUGCUCCCUGCGCCGCCGUCCCCCAACUGCGCCGCCACCCCUGCCUCCCCAGCUCCGCGCGCGCCGCCCCGUGCCUCCCCAGCUCCCUGCGCCGCCGCCCCUGCCUCCCCAGCGGCCCAGCUCCCUACGCCGCCGCCGCCUGCCCAAAUCCCGCCGCCGCCGGCGGCCUCAUCUCCCUCCCCGCACCGGCAUGAGGGGCCGCGGCCAUGGGGGCGUCGCAGAGGUGGAGGACCUGCGCCGCCAGCCAUGGAGUAGGCGGCUCCGCCACCACCUUCCUGCGCCCGCCACCGCGCCACUCGUCCCCGGUCCCGGCUCCUCCCAGCGCCGCUCGUCGCCCAGCGGCGACCGCGCCAGCGCGCAGGCGAGACGACGGAGCGAACGGCGUGGGACUGGGUCCGCGCGGUCCCUCCAAAUCGGCGGUAUGCACUCGACCCGGACAAAAGGGGAAUAUUCCCCGUCUGGGUCGAACCCAACCCACUCCGUUCUGAACCAAACACGGGACGACGAGGGUUCGACCCAUUCCAACCCACCUCGACCUAGUAACCAAACACACGGUUAGAGAACCUGAGGAAUCAUGUCAGAACAACACUCUAGUCGUUCGAAUCCCGAAAGUGGCUAGGGCAGAUGAAGUGAGGAACUAAGAGCAACUCCAAGAGUAUCCUAAAAAAUUCUUCCCCAAAACUAUGUAUUGGGGAUUCUCCUAAAAAAAAUUUCCCCCAAAAACAUAUCAGUCCACAGCAGAUCGCUAAUAAAUAGCCCCCAAUAUUUCAAACACAGGCCACGUCAUCAUAUUGGGCCCAUCGGAAGGGACGCGCGGGCGUGCGGGAAUCAGGAUUGGGGGAGGAACGCCAACGCUAAAAUAUACACGGUGGCAGGCUGUUUUUUAGCGUCGCUAAAAAAUUGAGGAAGGUUUAGGUGGAUUGUUGGAGUUCAUUUUUUCUCUCUUUUUUCCUAAAAAAAAGUAUUGAGGGUAAGAUUAGCAGUCUCUUGCUCUAACUGGACCAAUUCCACCCGUAAUGUCAUCUCCAAAGAUCGUGUCGAAGGUGGCAGCGUAUAGCUCAAAGGGGUGUUGCCUCAGAUCAUUACAGAUAACGUCAUCAUGGCCUAUGAGUGCCCGCAUUUCAUGAAAAAAGAAGAAAGCGCGAGAUAUCAGAUGAAAAAGAAGAAAGAGCGAGAUCUCGGAUGUCGUGCUCUGAAACUGGAUGUGGGAAGGCUUUUACGAUCGCGUGGAUUGGGAUACCUACGCGCUAUCAUGGUUCCGUUGGGCUUGAUCAUGCGCUUGGUAAUUUUAUUUAACGGUGAACGGCUUGAACAAUCUCACUCGUCGAGGGGAUCCGUGAAGAUGAUGAUCCUAUCUCUCCUUAUUUUGUUCCUUUGGCAGCUUAAGAAAUCAAACCAUCGGGUAUUAAAGUGGCUCCGUCGGCUUCGGUGGUAAGCCGCCUUCUCUUCUGCGGAUGAUAGCAUGCUAUUCUUCAGAGCAAAUAGAGAGAGUGAUCAAUAUAUGCAUUCCCAAUUACCCUUAAUCAUUUCACCACCGGAGUAAAGUGUGUUAAGUGCUCAGUUGGAAACUUGUACAAAAUAAUCAAGCACUGGUAGAGGUCGAGAGCAGACUAAAAAGUUAAACCCCGUCCUUGUGUUUCAUCUUCUUUGUGUCCAGUGGAUUUCUUUCUGCCACUCUAAUCUCCAUUAUAACUUGCAAUUCUAUCGCACCACCCGCUGUUGUUUCUUUUCGGCGGUCAAUUGCCUAUAAAUAACUUUAAAGUACAAACAAAAAAAAGAAGAUCAUAAGAAAAAAUGUGCAAUGGCCUACUAGAAAAGAAAACAGAAAAAGGGAGCACUUCAGGCCAAAUUAUUAUAAAAUUAAGCGUACCAAUCCAAAUCUCCUUUCCGCUGUUCGAAGCAUUCUCUCUUUUCACAGCUUUGGAGUAAUGCUGGUUCCAUUAACAUGAGCUGUGUCUGUGUGCUGUGAAGUACUCGAGUGGCACAUGAAACAGGAACAAAACGUGUGUCACAGUUUGUAAAAUGCCACGGGGAGAACGCGAGCAGCACCGAGGCCAGUCGUGGAUUUGGGCAUCAGGCCGGCACGCCGACGCGGCGCUCCCGUCAUAUCUCCCGGUUCCAGGCUCCCAGCGCCACACGACCCAGGCUCCAUGGAUUGUUUUCCAGAUCCUCGUCCUCCCUGCUCGAGCCUUGAGCCGUGCUGAUGGUGGGGAAAAAAAAAAAGGCGUGGACGAACGGCCACGGCCGCCGGUGGUGCGUUCCCGCAUGGCGAUCCGGCGAUCCGGGUCGCCGGCCACCGCGGCAGGCACGGCAACAGAACCAGCCAGCCGUUUUCUUCUGCCACUCCAUUUACAAGCGACGCGCCAUUGCUGCUGCUGCAUCUGCCAGCCUGUUGUGCAACAAAGGGCACGCACCAUUUCUGAUCCCCCCGGUGCUACUGCUACGGGUGCCACCUACUACCUGACCGUGCAUGACCGCAUGAGGCUGGCCGGGUGAUCUCACCAUGACUCGGAUCCAACGUUUUAGUGAUGCCCCGUGGAGGACGAUGAUCACCUCUGACUUCUUUACACACCUGCCGAUCCGUCCGGUCCUGCGGUGCAGCCCUUUUUCCGUGUGAAAAAAAAAACACUGUCUCCAUCGAAGGUUUUUGCAGUAAACCUAUGACGGCGGUUGCGGUGAUGCGCCGGCCUCACACUGACCGACCCACCGCGAGUCGCUCGAGCCACCGCAUACGCAUUAUCUUGCAAUUUUCUCCCUCACCAAACGCUCUCGGAUUUGGUGUCUUUGGAGCAGAGAGUGAAAAGCAACCAGAGCUGCGUGUGGUUGCUUGCUUGGUCUGCACUCGUGCAACCACUGCGCUGCAUCGCUCCUUGUAACCUCGAGUCCUCGAACGUUUGGAUCAAACGGAGGAGCAAAGCACAAGUUCAGAAACAGCAUGGCUGCUCUGCUUGCUUGAUCCUGCCUGUUGCGCCCUGCUUCUGACAAUGUGUGCUGACUUCGAAUUGUUCCCACAGCAAACCAGAAUCUCGCAGGUUGCAGCUGCAGCAGUGAGCGUGAAGCAUGUUUGGCUGGGACCUGAGACGCCUGACAAGUGAAAAGGUUUUUGGUUGUCAGCUCAGGUGGCUGGUGCGGCGUCAGAACCCAGAACUCAGAACCGGACGCGGGGGAGGCGCGAGCUGCGACGGUAUCACGGUUCACCCGCACACACGCAAGCACAAAACGUGUUACUUGAAAAAGUGCAGAGUGACAUGAUCGUGGUAGGCUCCAGCAAUCAUCAGCAUCACAACACGUUGAGACUGCCUCGAGGCACCGGGUCUAUGUCUAACACACUGCCGCCGUCGAUAUAGAAGAUUGCAGCGAUGUGCGGGCCCGAUUAUUUUGUGGAUCGCCUCAAUUCUCAUGUCCGUGCACGCCAUUGAAGCAGUCGUUCUCGGACGUUGCUCGUCAGAAACUUCAGCGAAAAAUCCAUCGAAAUGCAUGUCCCAUAACCAACUAACCAAGGCGUCUCCAGUUCUGCACGUUCAGAGCCUGGACCCUGACGGCGUCGCCGCUUCCGAUGCACACCCAUCAGCAUUCAGCCAUCACUAUACAGACCAGGUCGCGCCGACGGCCGAGCCGCCGCGUUCGCGGUCGGCCUUCCAGAUGACCAGCCUCGGACGCUGUCAUCAUCGUGUCACUGCUGAUGCGGUGGCGAUCUCAUCGGAUCGUCCAGCGUCCAGCGUCCAGCGUCCGGUGGGGUGGACCGCGUCCACGGAGGAGGAGCCUCUCCUGCCACGCCAUCCAGAAACCCGCCCGCGCCUCCCCCGCCGAAUCCAACCCCCAUCCAUCCACCCCACCAUCACCUCGGCUGUAGGCUGUAGCUUUCCACCGGUCAUCCAUCCCACCAAACGCCCGGGGAUUUUUUUUUAAAAUUUUCCGAAGAGAAAGCGACGCAGGGGUCAUGGCGGACGACAAGGGGAAAAAAUGGAGGAUUGCGCGCACGGAUUCCCCGGCUAUAAAAGGCGCUCCACCCCCCACGAACUCACCAGCUCUCCACCAAGAGCUAAUACCAGAAUAUACCGUAACACCACCGCACCACCACCUAACGCCGGCUGCUUGCUUUACACCGCGUCGUGCGUUCCCAGAUCCGCCGAGUUCUUCGAUCGCUCCAGCAAAGGUUGGUGCCCUGGAUUUUGCCUCUUCUCCGUUUGGAUUUUUGUGGUGGACCAAUCGCGUGACGCGGUCGUCGUGCGGGGUUGCGUUGCGUGCAGAUGAAGAUCACGGUGCGGGGGUCGGAGAUUGUGUACCCGGCGGCGGAGACGCCGCGUCGGCGGCUGUGGAACUCGGGCCCGGACCUGGUGGUGCCGCGGUUCCACACGCCCAGCGUCUACUUCUUCCGCCGGAAGGACGCGGAGGGGAACGACCUGGCGGCCGCGGACGGGAGCUUCUUCGACGGGGCACGGAUGCGGCGCGCGCUGGCGGAGGCGCUGGUGCCCUUCUACCCGAUGGCGGGGCGGCUGGCCCGCGACGAGGACGGCCGCGUGGAGAUCGACUGCAACGCGGGCGGGGUGCUGUUCCAGGAGGCGGACGCGCCCGACGCCACCGUCGACGACUUCGGCGACUUCGCGCCCACCAUGGAGCUCAAGCGCCUCAUCCCCACCGUCGAGUACACCGACGACAUCUCCGCCUUCCCGCUCCUCGUGCUCCAGGUAACAAACCGAUCGAUCGAUCACACCUCCUCGUCGGUUGCUAUUACAUUUCGCUAGGAUUUUCGUCUAGGCAGGGUCUAAACAGAGUUGCGUGAGAGUGAGAUUGUGAAAAGAUGAGGUUAUCUGAAUCCACGACGACGCGAGUGCCCACAGCCCACGACGUCUCAGUCAACGGAGGCACACCGCAGACCCAGACGCAGACGCGUCAUAGCUGUUGGGUGCCUCUCUCGUUUUGUCCGGGUCGGCGCAUGUGCGCGGUGUGCCGGUGCCGACGGCACGUGGGCGGGCGACGUGGCGCCGACGCUGGUCGAACUCUGCUUGACGUUGCUCGCACGCUGCUCUGCCGUAUUUUUUCUGGCGGGUUGGCGGCCGGCCGUCACCGUACUGUCGGCUGUACUUCCGUCCCGUGGGAAGACAGAUGUUGGAACGAGCCUUGUUCAGCCACGAAAAAAUACCGAUGCUAUUUUUGAGGAGGUGCUCUGGAAACAGAGUAUCUACCUCACGAAAAAUGCAACCAAAGCUUCUCUGACAUUUCAUGCAAGAAGCCAGUAGGAUCUCGUCAGAUAGCAACGCUCUGGUGAGAAAUCGUAGUCAACAAAUGGGUUGCUGAGUCACACGUGCCGUGCCACAUUUAAUCGCUACGCUAAUCUGUAGGUGAGAACGAGAAUUCCAUGUUUUGCCCACAGCAAACACUCUCGAGCUCGUGACUCUUCAAAUAUUACCAGAAAUUUGUUUUUUCAACCUGUUGUAGACUCUUCAGAUAUUACAAAAAGUUGAUUUUCCACCUUUUGUAGAAUAUAUCAGCGUGCCUAGUUCUGGGAAACAUUGCUGGAAGAGUGGAAACGUGCCGUUGCAACCUGUUACCUGUCCAUGGAAACCCAAAUUUAUUGUUUCAUGGUCGCGGACAUAAUAUCUAGAGAUCAGCUCGCUUUCUGUAGGUCUUUGCAGAGAAAUUGUGUACUGGACUUAGCUCGCACACAAUCGCGCAUUCCAUUAUUGGUGCUGUUAGGCCCAAAUAUGACGUCCUUUUGCCUUCGCAAAGAAACCAUUGUGACAGCAAUGUGCUACCACUCUUGACUCUUUGAGCAUGCAUACCGUGGUCUAUCUGCUAGCUUAAUCUCACGGCAAUCCCGGCACCACUAGAUUGCCAUUUCGUAGAUGAUAGAUCUUCGCUUUCUUUCAACCGGCGGAUGAAUGCCCGGCACCUAACUAUUUUGAUAUAACCGGCCCACAUGAUGGCAUCUUAUAACACAUGCAUGCAUACCGAACACUUCCUUUUUAUUUGUUUACUACGGCUGAUAGAUCAUAACCAUGCUCAUCAGGUGCUACUUUUGCACCUCGCCGUGGUGUGACCCGGCAACCACACUUAUGAGUAGCGUGGGCUGCUCCUUUCGUCGUCUGAACAGCGAAAUGUUGCUGGGUGGUUGCGUUGCGUGCUAGGUGUUCGUUGCUUAGGAUGCACACAUGGCACGCUCGUUCAAAGAAAAUGAUAGCCUAACUGGAGCGCCAAAGAGACGGGGUCUUUUAUAGAGACAUUUCUUGAGACAGCAACCAACGUUUGGUGGCUUCUUCCGUUCUGGUCUGCAAUUCUCUUGGCUUGGAUAUACGUAGCUGUCGUGUUUGGUCCAUACUUAGCUGUUCAUACAUGAUUACAUGGCUGAUAUCAAUCAUUCAGUUACCAUGAUACCAUGGUUAAGCAUGUGAAUGAAUUAUCCCAUUCAGUUACCUAUCCGCAUCUAUUGAGUGCAUUGACCCCAAACCCAUUCAGUGUGGCCUUACCCCUUGUGUUCUUAAAUUUGAUAUCGAGUUAUUGACAUUUGACAAGCCAAAGACUUGCUUAGUUCAAAAUUUUUGAAGCAAUUUCUGCAACUAACCGAAGUUGGCGCGCAUUUUUUGCUCCAGGUGACACACUUCAAAUGCGGUGGCGUCGCGAUCGGCGUGGGCAUGCAGCACCACGUUGCCGACGGCUUCUCCGGCCUGCACUUCAUCAACUCGUGGGCGGACCUCUGCCGCGGCGUCCCGAUCGCCGUCAUGCCCUACAUCAACCGCUCCCACCUCCGCGCGCGUGACCCGCCGGCCCCGGCCUACCCUCACAUCGAGUACCAGCCGGCUCCCGCCAUGCUCUCCGAGCCUCCGCAGGCGCCCCUCACGGCGAAGCCGGCGGCGCCGCCCACCGCCGUUGCCAUCUUCAGGCUGAGCCGCGCCGACCUCGGGCGCCUCCGCUCGCGGAUCCCCGCGCGCGAGGGCGCGCCGCGGUUCAGCACGUACGCGGUGCUGGCAGCGCACGUGUGGCGGUGCGCGUCCCUGGCGCGCGGCCUCCCCGCCGACCAGCCCACCAAGAUGUACUGCGCCACGGACGGGCGGCAGCGGCUGCAGCCGCCGCUCCCGGAGGGGUACUUCGGCAACGUGAUCUUCACGGCGACGCCGCUGGCCGACGCCGGCACGGUGACGGCCGGGGUGGCGGAGGGCGCGGCGGUGAUCCAGGAGGCGCUGGACCGGAUGGACGACGGGUACUGCCGGUCGGCGCUGGACUACCUGGAGCUGCAGCCGGACCUGUCGGCGCUUGUCCGCGGCGCGCACACGUUCCGGUGCCCCAACCUGGGGCUCACCAGUUGGGUGCGCCUGCCCAUCCACGACGCGGACUUCGGGUGGGGGCGGCCCGUGUUCAUGGGCCCCGGCGGCAUCGCGUACGAGGGGCUCGCCUUCGUCCUCCCCAGCGCCAACCGCGACGGCAGCCUGUCCGUGGCCAUCUCGCUGCAGGCCGAGCACAUGGAGAAGUUCCGGAAGCUCAUCUACGACUUCUGAUCUCCUUCACACACGAGCCAUCCAUCAGUAAGCGCAGGAGCAGCAGAAUCGAAACAGGAGGGUGAUCUUACAAGUUUACUAGGUUGCAGCAAGAUUCUUUGAUUGCACACAUACUAGUUCCUGCACACGUUUUCCGUUCCUGCCUGCCCCUUUUGGGCUGGAUGUACACGUUUUGUGCCGUAUAUGAGUCACGGGCCUGAACGGCCUGAGCAAUUGUAUGAUGAACAAUUUAAUCAGUUCCUAAUGAGACAGAUUAAUAAGGUUAAUUAUCUCUUGAUCCAUUUUUUAACAAAAAAAUGUGUGCAGGAGUGCAGGACAGUGUUACGACCCUGAGAGUUCGAGAUGGAUCAAUCAGUUUGAAAUAGUACAAUCUGUUCUUGUUUUACUUUCACACGUGCAAGUUGGACCUGAAAGUACAGUCUGAAGUCUGAACCUAUUCCUUAUCAAAUAGCAAUCUGCAUAGGACUGAACCUACUUUCCAAACUAGUUGACGAAUUGCUGCCCUCCAAACGGGCCGGCUCAAUAAUCUGGAUGGAGAAGACACUGCACAUGACACGGGCAGGGCACUGUGGGAAGAGCUCCAUCCUCCCGCGACCCGUCGGUCUUCUUCCAUGAACAGUUGCACUGUUGCAGCGAUGGUCCAAGAAGUCCCCCCUCUUGUUAGGACCUCGGGACCCCAUGCGCGGACAAGGUGGUGGCAAGAAGAAAGAAGAUGAGGAUUAGGUCGAGCUCCAUUGAUGUAUCGGCUGAGCAGGUGUGGUGCGGGUUUGGCGGUUUGGCCGUGUGGGAUUAAAGAUCUGCUCACCCUAGCGACCGAAAGCUUACACGAAGGAACGCUGUUUAGUUGGUGGAUGAUUGGUGGGUGUCUGGUAACCCUGGCUGGUUGCAGGUUGGUGGUGACGCCGAUGGGCUCCAUGAGGAAUUGCCCACGAGUCCAUGUCCACGGCACGGUGCCUUGUGCAGUUGUGCUCGUGGUCAGCUCAAGUGGGCCCUCCUAUACUCCUAUCCUUGCCUGCUCGGUUGGGGGUUGGUGGGUCAGCCGGUGUCUGGAUGAUGCAGCAGUGCGGCACCUCGCGGCCAUCGGGAUGAAGCCAUGGAGGCGUAGACCACUACUCAAACGUGAUCCACCGUCUGCCCACCAAACCACACCUACGGGACUGUAAAACACUGGGAGUGGGAGCGACCGGCGAGAAAGUGCACCCGUGCGCGUGCGUGCUUCAUCAACAAAUAAUAAAGCUAUUCGAUCGAACUUUUUUAUUGGUCCACAUGAUGGCUGGCACGAGUAUGUGAACGUUGCAAUUUGCAAAGGUGGUGCUAGGAUCGAACUUUAGGCGCGGCGGUGGACACUCGGAACAUGCACCUACCACGAUGUUCAUCCAGUUCGCCUUCGUAUCCACCCAUCAAUCCAUCAUGUUGAUUGCUGCCGGCCAUUGAUGACAGCGUGUCAAGCUUCGGCGUUUUUUUUGAAAAUAUUUUUUUUAUUUAUUCAUCUGUCGGAGGUCCAGUAAAAUCACGAACUGCUAAAAACUUUACAAAAUUCGGGAGGAGAUCAAGCCAAACACAUGACUGAUCGGGGUCCCAACUCAAACCAGAACGAGCUAAUUCAUGUGCACACAGAUUACAAGAUUGUGGGGUAAAAGAAACUUCAACAGACACAAAAUCUAGUUGAAUAAGUUGCCAUGCCUCCAUAAGCAACGUACCAGCCGGUGAUUGAUCAAAACCCUUGACUUCAAAGCAGUGACUAGGUUCGAAGAAUCACUUUCCAACUGAAUUCUCGUCAUACCUUGAGCUGAGAUGGCCGUUAAAGCUGCAAGGCAAGCUUGAGCCUCUGCAUAAAAAAGAAUCAUGAACUGAUUCUAAUCUCCCUGCUCCCGCCAUUACUGCAUUGCCGUUAGCAUCUCUAACAAUGAAGCCCCAUCCUCCCGAUUUCUGCUCCAUGAGGAAAGCUCUAUCAAUGUUAAUUUUGAAAACUUCCUCCGAAGGUGGAUUCCAUCUCUGUACUUUUUUACGAUGCUUCUCAACUAUUUUUUUUUAGCAUAAUACAAACCUCCCAUGUCAUGUUUCUUGCUUGGUGCACUACUUCUUUCACUGUUCUUCUCUGUUUACUAGCAUUAACUUUGCUUGGUGCACUACUUCUUCCAUUGUUCUUCUCUGUUUACUAGCAUUAACUUUGUUUCUUGCAUCCCACCAUGACCAUAUUAGGAUCAUGGUCUUAUAUUUGUUUUCCUCCUCCAUAGAUAGUAUACAGUUUGUUACCUCCUUGACAUCUUUUAGGUCUACUAAUUUCACCCUCACACCUUCCAGGUUCAACAUCUGCCAGCAUUUGCGCAUGAAUUUGCAUUUAAAAAAACAAUGGCUACCAUCUUUAUCCAUCCUCAAACACAUUUGACAGCGGGUGUCAACACCAUCCAUACCUCUUCUUUUAAUAUUCAUCCGCAAAGGCAGACUAUUAUGCGUUAGGCGCCAUAAAAAAAUGUUUGAUCUUAGAAGGGCAUUCCAAUUUCCAUAUUAUUCCCCACUCUAUCUGGUUUGCAGUUGCCGAAGGUGAUGAUGACUCACCUCUCUGUCUUGUGGCUUGCCGCUCCUGUUUGUCCUCCAAAGUGUGAUACAUCAAUUUUACUGAAAAUAGCCUUUUUGUGUCAUACCAUGCAAAAAAUCCUCCAUAUUAUUAUUUAUUGGGGUUGCAAGGAUAUGCUUCACAUCCUCUUCUCGAAACACAUCUUUGAUUAUAAUUUUAUCCCAGCCCCCUGUUAAUGGAUCAAUAAGUUCUUAAACCUUUGUCAAGAUGUUAUGCCCUCCAGGAGUGAUUGGCCUUCUCAUCACACCUGUCGGUACCCAAGGAUCUAACCAAAUAUUUAUUUGUGAUACAUCACCGACCCUCCAAAUUAAGCCCUCCUUUAGUGCUUGUACACCGCGAACAAUGCUUCUUCAGGAGUAUGAGAUGCUUGGAGCCUCUGUCACGUCAAGUAAUUUUCUAUUCUCAAAAUAUUUUGCUCGCAGGACUUGGGCACAUAAACAAUCUGGAUUAAUCAGUAAUCUUCAUCCUUGCCUUGCUAACAUUGCCAAAUUAAAAAGGUGGAGAUCUCUAUAUCCCAAACUCCAUUUCUUUUUUCAUUGACACAAAAAAUCCCGGGGCAACCAAUGCAUCUUAUUUUCUUUAUCUUGUAGUGUCCACCAGUAUCUACAAAUCAUCGUACUGAUUUCAUCACAUAAGGUUUUGGUGAGGUCAAAACAGGACAUUGCGUAUGUGGGGAUCGCCUGCGCUAUGGCCUUGAUUAUGAUCUCUUUGCCAGCUUUUGAAAGCAGCUUUUCCUUCCGGCCUUGAGUUCUUUGCCAGACCCUUUCUUUCAAAUAUGCAAAAGUUUUUGCUAUUGAUUUUCCCAUAUAAACUGGAAGACCCAAAUACUUAUCAUUUCUUGCCUCUGUUGCAAUGUCCAGGACUGCCAUUAACUGAAGCUUGUCAGAUGCCUUAGUAUUCUUGCUAAACAUCACCGAUGAUUUAUCUUUGUUGAUAGUUUGCCCCGAGCAUUCCUCAGACAAGGUGAGACUAUUUUGCAGAUGAUGUGCACUUCAAUCAUCAAUUUUCAAAAGUAGCAAUGAGUCAUCUACAAACAGAAGGUGGUUGAUGCUCGGUGCCUCUUGACAGACCCUUAUACCAGUUAAGAAACCAUUAGCUUCAACUGCAUUCAACAAGGCAGAAAAACCCUCAUCAUAGAUCAGGAAUAAAUAAGGAGAUAGAGGGUCACCUUGUCUCAAACCAUGUUUUGGUGAAAUUUCCUCAGUAAGCUCACCAUUUAUCUUGAUGCGGUAAGAGACUGUAGAAAUACAUCUCAUUAUAAUGUCCACCCAUCUUCUUGCAAAACCCAAUUUCAUCAUCAUUUUUUCCAAAAAAAGACCAUUCCACUCGGUCAUAUGCUUUACUCAUGUCUAAUUUCACUACUGCAUAACCAUCUACACCAGAUCUUUUUGCUUGUAGGAAGUGAGUAAAUUCAUAAGGUAAAAGUACAUUAUCUGUUAUGAGCCAGCCAGGCACAAAGGCACUCUAGUUUAGGAGGAUAACCUCGGACAAGAUCAGUUUUAGUUGAUUUGAAAUUAUCUUUGAUGUAAUUUUGUACACCACAUUGCACAGACUGAUAGGCCUUAGGUCUUUAACCUUUUACGGGUUUUCCACUUUUGGUAUUAGCACAACAACAGUAUCAUUCCAUCCACAUGGUAUUUCUCCCCCGUACAAAAAGUUUUCCACUUCCUUUGUAAUGUCAUCCCCAAUGAUGUCCCAAUAUUGUUUGUAAAACAAGGCUGGCAUGCCAUCAGCUCCAGGUGCCUUCACAUCACCAAUAUUGUCCAAAGCUUAUUUAAUUUCAUCAUUGCUGAACUCUUUCAGUAGCAUAUCAUUCAUCUCUGGCGAUACUUUGGGAUUAACUUGUUGUAGCAGCUCAUAAGUUAUGUCGCCUGCAUGGUAUUCAAAAAGAUUUUUAUAAUCAUCAGUGAUAUAAGUGAACAUCCCUAUCAUCUCUGCCUCGAUGCUCCCAUCCUCCUUCACUAAACUUUUAAUUUUGUUCCUCUUCUUUCUUUCCGAUGCAUAUUGUUGAAAAUACUUUGUAUUACGAUCUCCCUUUUCUAACCAAUGGGCAUAUGCACGUUGUCGCCAAUAGAGUUCUUUUUGCUCCUCCAAUUUCUCCAAUUUAUAUUUUAGAAUUUCCUCCCUAGCUACAUUUUGUGCAUUUAGAGAGCUCUUCCGACACUCCUCCAGAGCACGUCGAGCUUGUUUGAUUCUCUUCUCAAGAUCACCCAAGAUAUUCCUACUCCAAUCCCAAAGGUCUGUAGCAACCUCUCUAAGAGCAUCCUUGUGGCGGAACCGCCCAAAUUAACCUGACUAAAAUGCAUUGAAGUCGCCUAACACGCGAUUAUGCACUUUAAGCAAGUCAACCUGGUCGACCGUCAGAUUUCAUCCGAUUAACCACCUGAACAGGAUCGAGAAGCAUCGCUCAUGUGAAGGUGAGUAGCACAGAGAUUACAACAUUCCAUCACAUAACUUAGUCUCUUAAAUUAUUACAUCAGAAUUCUGAAAUUCAAAAUAAGAUGCAAGGUUCAAAAAGUCAAUUAAAACAAGCGGAAGCUAAAUGUCGAUACAUGACAUCACGACGGAGCCGAUCAUGACAUCAAAAAUUCCUUCCCUCGCCAUCCGAGGAGGGAUCCCACUCGACUGUCCAGCCCGGAGGGAGCUGGGUAGGCCAAGUGGUGCCAGCAACCAAACUAUUGACAUCACUUGAAAAGAUUAAGCCACAACAAGGCUGAGCAACUAGUACUCAGCAAGACUGACCCGUCGGGUGAUAGCUCUUUUCACCAAAACUUAAACAUGAAAGGCUUUCUGGCUUUGGGUUUGCUUUGCCAAAAGCGUCUACAGUUGGUCCUUACCUUCAAUAUUUUAGCUCAUAUUCUACGUUCUUCAUCCAGUCUAGAUUAGCAACUAUUCUAAGCAAGCAUAGUUUCCAAGCAAUUUAUGACAAGCAUCAACUUAAUCUCUUAAUCAUGUUUCAUCGUUACUCAGUGCAGAAUAGUGAUCAAGUAGUCCCAAACUGUGAGAGGCAGACGAAUCGAUUUGAAUUUAUUAACCAUGCAUGGCAAACCUAAUCUCACGACAUCUGCGCACCACGAAGGGUCGCUUCAUUUGUCAGCCGUCCCCAUCGAUCCCUUAGGCACGUGUCAGGGCCAACUGCCUUUGGCAUGCAAUGCUCCAUAAUCUCGGCCUCUAUCGUACUAUGACCGCACUUGCACCCACAUGAUGCACCAUGGGAACGACGUUCCAAGGAUAGCCGGAGGGCAUGCCACGCCCCAGUUCAAUCAGGUACUAGGCUUCCCCAUCCCAUACUACGUAUGAGAUUAGUACUUUCAAACACUUGAUCACGAACGCCGACACAUUUCGACCUUAGAUCAAUUUCAUUUAGACAAAUGGGGAAAACCACCAAGUAUCGAACAUAAGCCUGACCCCGUCCGUCGUCCUUAUAGUUUGCAACAUAAGUAAACAUUCAACUCCUAUAACUCGCGAGUGACAGGAAAUCACUCGACUUUUACCGAUGCCUAUUAAGCAUUGCAACUACUCGACUUUAACAACUAAUAUUCAAACAAGGUACUAAGUUCAUGCAUCUAAGGUUUCAUUACAACUCCUAGAAACGUAAAUGCGCAAUCAAAGCAUUCAAUAGUAUUGCAAGUGUUCAAGAUAGGAAUUUAUGCUCCGGGGCUUGCCUUUAGGAAAAAAGCUUGUGGGUCCUCGGGGUCUUGCUCCGGUUUGGGCUCGCCUUCGAAGGGGUGAAGCUCCGCAGCGGGGUCUUCUUCAGGUGCUGUGUGGAGCUCGUAAGUUCCGUUGGUGAGAUUUAGCUCUACACGGAAGUGCAAUGCAGGGGUUAAACAUUUUAGAUGGUUAUUUCAACAACACUUGCACGUUUUAGCUUAGACACUUGUAGCAAAGCUACAGGAAAGGUGGGGGAGUCCAACUUCAGUUGGUGGAGAACAGGAUAAAAGGGUCGGAUUGGGAGAAACUUAUGAUCUGACCCUUAGACUUAAGGAAUAACUGUACCGGGGUCCUCGGAUUUAACACAGAGAAGUCCCCGAAAUAUUACACAGAUACCCUCGGGUCAAAGAAAAAGAUACAACCGAGCCCUCGGGCGAGACGGAUAAGGGUCGGCGAAACUAACAAGGUCGAGCGAGACAGAAAAAGGGGUCGGAGGAAACGAAAAGAAAAAGGGUCGGGCGAAACAAAAAAAAAGGGGUCAGGUGAACCGAGAAGGGGGUCAGCAGCUUACCUUUAGGCCUACGGGUGAAGUCUUGGGGUCAGGAAGGAACAGGCUUUGGCGGAAGGGCUAAGGCGCUAAGGCUUGGGCGGCGGCGAGGUUCAACAGUACUCCGGCGGCGGCAGUGCUUCUUGUGGACAACAAGCAAGCUCUAGCACCGUGGGGAGGAACAGGCGGCUGGUGGGUUGGGGGAAGUGGCUUGAGUGGAGAGGGAAACUUCCUCAAGAGUGUGGCGGCGAAGUCGCCGGAGUGUGGGGUGGCGCAGAGGUGUGAGCUCCACAGCAGCUCAGCGGCGGCGCAGAGGAGAAAGCGGUGGCGCGUGUGCAGGCGGUGGCAAAGGGAUGGCGUUGCCGGUGAGGGGGACCCUUUUAUAGGGCCGGGGUGGAGCGGAGGGUCGAGGCGGGGCUCCGAUGGGGGAGGGAUAAGGCCGGGAGCGGCGAGUGUGCGGGCAAGGCGGCCAUUGGCCAGCGGCGCCAUUGGGCAGAGGAGGCGGAGCUCCAGGUGGUCUCCGACGGCGAUUGGCCUUGGGCGACGCGCGUCUGGGGCUUCCGGUCUGUCGGGCGGGCGAGGUGGAGGGCUACCGUGGGGGUUGGGCGAGCAGGCGGAGGCGCGGGAUGCCGUGGGCGUGGCAGCUUCUCCGACGGACGGGCGGAACAUGGUUGGUGGAGCAGAGCCGUGGUAGGCGGAAGACGACACGUGCGCGGCUGGUGGUUGGCUAGCCCGGCGUUCGCCCCGUCCUGUCGCAGGCGCGGGUUGGACGCCGUGGCCUUCGCACUGUCGCUAUCAUGCCGGUGAUAGGGCGCCGGCGAGCUGCCGGUGGCCGGUGGCCACGCGGCGCGCAGCGCGCGAGCGAACGUGCUCUGGCGCGCGGGCGUCGAGGCUCCCUUCGGGCAGCAAGCCCGACCAGCUUUGGGGAGAUCUUUCUCCGGAUUUUUCGACACAACUUCCAAAACUCUUUUAAACAAAGCUCAAAUCUAGACGUUCUUCAAACUUUGCUUAAGGUGUCGGUUUAGAUUGUGAAAGGAUUUGAAGAUAUUUCAUGCCAAAGUUUGCUAAAAAUCUGGAAUUCCAGACUUAGGAUUUUAAGGCAUCAGGGAUGAGUUGACUGUUUUACCUUAUUUUGACCGAGGUUUUGAACAGGUUCUGGCCCGAGUUGGACCUUGGUUAGUGUAACAAAGUUGGAACACACUCGAGGUACUACAACUUCAUUAAGGGCCUGCCUUGAGUUUAGAUAGGAAUUUGUGAGAUAAAAGCUUGCAAGAUGGAGGAAAACUCGAAUUCCAGGACUUACGAGGUUUUUAGAGUUCUUGAGUAUUCCGAUUUUGAUUGCGGUUUUUAACUUCCUUCCACUCCGAAUCAGUCAAAGGCCUUUAACGAAAGUUGUUUGAAUUAAAAAGUUUUACAACUCUUAUUUGGGCAUAAACUUAAGUUUGCAUAUAAAAUUCCAAGUUUUAUUUCAAACUCCAAAAAGAGCUUCUUAGGGUCAUAAUGGUCAUUUCACCUCUUUAAUUAGGGAUUAACCACUGGUUUAUAGUUAAAAGCACUUAAUUUAGGUAGAGUUGUUACAAUCCUGCACUUUACCAUUCCUUGCAUUCAUAGUGAGUUUCCAUGCGUUCUCAACAAUUGCUACAAAAUUAUCCUCCUUUGUCCAGCUAGCUUCGAAGCGAAAACAUGGAGCAGGUGGGUUUCUGUAACUUGCAUUCUCCUCUUUUGUGAUCACCAUAACAGGCCUAUAGUCAGAGUGUCUAGGUUCACCAUUGAUCACACGGAAGCUUGGAAACCUAGCACACCAUGCACUAUCUGCAACUGCACGAUCCAAUCUCUCUCGUAUGUAGCCAUCACUGUUAUGAUUAUUGUUCCUCCAAGUGUAUGGAUCCCCCACAAAUCCUAAAUCAGUCAGGGAACACUCCUCUAGGGCUUCUCUGCAACGGUCCAUGCAGCCUUGUGCCCGUGGUAUCCUUUUCAUAGCUUAGUAAAAUUUCAUUAAAAUCACCUAUACACAACCACGGUCUUCUCCUUGCCGCAUUCAAUGUACGCAUAGCUUUCCAUGAUAGAUCCUUCUUAUCUGACUUUCGUUCACUGUAGAAACUAGUGAACCUCCAAACAAAGCCAUCCUUUUAUGACACAUCUUCAUCAAUAUACAACCGAGACACUGCACGAAGAUGCAAAUUAAUCUCUUUUUUCCCAAAAAAAACUGCGCAAGACCACCACUUCUCCCCUUAUAGUCUUUAACCACCAUAUUUGUCAUGCCAAGCUUCCAAUGAAAACCUUCUAUUCUAUUCCUAUCCAUUUUGUUUCAAACAGAAAAAGAAUGUCAGGGUCUUCCUCCUUCUGAAGAUUCAGAAGGCCACGAACUGUGGGCUAUUUCCCAACCCCCGACAGUUCCAAGCAAUUAUCUUCAUUGGUUCUCGCAGGGCUGUUCUGACAGCCCCGCAUCAACAUGUGCACCAAUGGUCACAUCUACCUCCACCACCCUUGCUCUCUCAAGAGCUCGAUCCUUCUAUUUUUUUUACAGGCUUCUAAGCGCGUGUUACUUGACCCCUGCAAACUAACAACAAAGAUCUUUGUAAGUCAGGGCACAUACUUUAUUUACAUCAUGUGGCAAGUAACCAGAUCCCACCGCAUACACAACUGCAUACACAAACAUUCUAGAUGUAUCAUUGACAUUUUCAGCAAACAACACCACAAAGACCCUGUUAACACACAUUGUUUUUAAUUCUCUACAAUGUGCAGCUCCUUCCUUAAAAGCCUCUCCCAUGUUCUCAUUAUCGGACAAGGCAAAAAAAUCUUUAAACAAAGUACACACCAUAUGUAAUUGAGGACAAGAGGCAACAUAACCUAAGACUCUCCUUCCUUUUAUUUCAUACGACAUUACAAAAUAUGCAGCAGAUAGGUGGUCAUUGAGAGAAAGAAGAGUACACCAACUAGCAAGCAGGUAAUGAAACUCAGAUGCACACACAUAAACUUUUACAACAUUAUAAUGCCUUAUUGCGAGGAGGAGUGAUAAGCUGGGACCUUGUAUCUGGAUCAACCACACAUCUUUUUGAACUAACCGAGGUCAUUCCUUACCUCGGCAGUUCAUUCCCAAGAAACUCAUGGCUCCUGCCGGGCACUGUCAUUAGCGCUCGACAGAUUGCCGGUAGCCCCAGGAUCGGUCACUGCUAUACCACCUUUACCUUCCAUUGAAGCCUUGCCCAUGUUCUUUGACUCAACAUUUGCGUCAUGCCCAUCAACAGCCAAUACCUCAUUCUGUUCAGCAACCCUUAAUUCAGCCAGGCCUUCCUUUCCCAAACAUUCAGAGAAUGUGGGACCUGAAAGACCCCUCCUUUUGCUUUUGGUUCCAUAACAUCGCCUUCAUCUUGUACUUCUAUGCGAGAUCGCACUAUUCCUGCCCCCAGCGAAUUGGCACUAGUGUUGCUCUGCACUUUAGAUACAUUCCUUUCUCUUCUCUUCCAGCCCUUCACUUUAAUUUCACAAGUGGAUCCUGCGGUUGAGAGUGAGUUCAAAGAAUUGAUUGCUUUAGCAGUUUCCUUCCCUUGUUUGUUACCUAAAAUAUGUUUCCCAUCAUCUUUUUCACAGCACCAAUAGCAUCAGCACCACCACGCACCCCUACUGGCAUGACCCCAUUUUCUUCUUCAGCAACAACCCCCAUUUUAGCUCCAAUCCCAUCUUCCGGCCUAUCAUUAUUUUUAGGUUGUUGAUUAUCUGCAACUGUUAGCCGAGCCACCUGUUCCACUAGAUCGACAGCCUUCUUGUUUUCUGUGAUUGGAGCUUCAGCAAUGGCUACCAGAAGGCCUAGUGUUGUUGGUUUAGGAGCACGCCAGAGCAUGGAAGAAGGGCUCUGGUGAGGCUGUCCCAUACAAUCCGGAAGGUUCAUCACAGUGGACUGGACAGACACAAAAAUCCAAACUAAAAUUGUUUUUUCUUUCUCCAGCCGGCAAAUCACAUAUAUCCUCCACAUGCCCUAUGUACCCACAGAACAGGCAAAAAUUUGGUAGCCUUCUAUAUCAAACUUGGACAACAAACUCCUCACCUAUGAUGUCGUCAACCAACACGAUCUCCUUUUGCAAGGCCGUGAACAAAGGGAGUUGCACACUAGUUCCGAGAAACAUGUUAUUGAAGUAAAGGCGUUUUUGAUUGGCGGCUACACAAAAUCUUUCUUUUUUUUCUGUUGUGCUGGAUUUAGAGGGCGAGUGUUAACGGACACGAGUCUGUCGAAACCCACAGACCGACAUGACUUGCUUUUUACUUGUUGCUAAUGAUGGCUUGAUGCCUAACCCACCCAUGUGAGGGUAGGUUUGUCGGAAAUCAGAAAGUAAAGAGGUGCGCUAGAAUUACGUGAGAAAUUACUAACACUAAGGGUUCAAUUUGAUAGUUUAAGUUCUCCCCGUGUUCUAAAUGUGGGCUGCUUCAUGAUUUUUGUCGAGUUCCCGAGAUGCAUCGUCACUCCGCAGCUAAAACAAACUUUGCAUCGGAACCAUGCAUAUUGGUUGUAGGCAAAGGCAUUACACAAAUCUAUUAGAUAUACUAAAGUGGCUGGCUUUGGAGCUCUCUCGUGAAUCAUGGCGCCACGUGGGACCCACAUCCUGUUCAGGUAGGACCCAUGUGGGACCCACGCACUAUUCAGGUGAGACCCACGAUGGACCCACAUACUAUUCAGUGGGACCCGCGCACAUUGGUGGUGGAACCCAUGGUUCUAUUGAGUGGGUCCCAUGAUAAAAAAUUUUAUGUUUUCCCAUUAUUUGAAAGUAUAAAAUAUAUUUAAUUAUUUCCUAUAUAUAAAACCAAUAACUAAACUUUAUAUACUACAUUCACAUCUAGUAGCCCUACUGUUUUUCGCACUGUUUUUACUUCAUAAACUCACAAAUUAUGAUUGAAUUAUUCAUUCAUUGCUAAUUUUAUCUUUUGCCCCCUACAAAACCAAUAAUCAAUGUAAACCAAUCCAUCAGCUAUAUCUACUAACACCCAAAAGUUAGUGAAUUUCUAAGCAAAAAAGUUAUCCGUACCUCUAUACCAAAAUGCAUGGGAUUGGCUGUCUUAGAUUCCGAGCUAGUAGCUUUUGUAUUUGAUUCAACACAUCGUUAUGAUGUUGUUUUGAGCAUAGUAGGAGACAAUAUUUUUUCAUUAUUACUUUAGGUUAAUCUUUUUGGUACAGGCACGCAUAGCGUGCCAAUCUGGCUAGUAAUAUCUUAUUCUGCACCCCAUUAUAGGUUAAUGCACAUGAUGUUUUAUUCUUGAUAGUGUUGACGUUGUUAGUAGUAAGGGGUCAACUGUUACUUGACCCCUACAGUAACGUACAUGUGCAAUGUGCAAACCGACAGUCGGAGACGAUGAUGGGAAUGAGGUGAUAGGGAUUAUUUGGUUAGCAUGUGCUGUUCUAUUUUAAUUUGUACUGAAAUGAAUGAGAUUAUGAGAUAGAUAUGGAGAUUUGAUUACGCAGUUAGGGAUUGAAGGAGGUGGCACGAUGAAUUUGAUGUUUGUAGUUUUGCUAAUCGAUGAGAAUUAUAGUCAUUCACAAAAUGAUUUUGAUACUUCUUAAGUAAAAAGAGUGGCACGAGAUAAAUAUUAUCGGGUUAAACUCAUCGUAAAUGUUACGAAUCACUGUUGAUGGCAGUUAGCACGCUAAUUUAUGAACCGCAAGCGUACGGAUCAGUUGUAACUCUUCCCUUAGAGUAUCCCCCAAUGUUUAUCAAUCUGUGGAACAAGUGGAUUUACUCGCUUAACUGAGCACUAAUCUAUGUAACCGAAGGUUCUUUGUAUACAAUAAGAUUGGUCUAAGAAAAGAACUAGUGACUUAGAUUAAACUUGAUAGAGAGUAUGGAUGUAAACAAGAUAGAUAAAGCACUUGUCCUAGGGAUCUAGGAUCACUUGUAGAUGUAAUCGCCAUGCAUUAAAGAACUAGAUUUAAGUGUUAUCGUGAGUGGAUGUGAACCAUGCCCAAUACUUAUCCUCUCGCACGUUGUCACUAUACAAGAGUAUUCAAAUAUUGAAUGAUAAGAACACGGUUUGAUGAACAUUCUAGUAAACAAAUAAGCAGCCCAAAGUAGGGCUAGCCAACCAUUACAUGAAGGAGCAUCAUCAAGAUAUGAUAAAUAACAAACAGAUCUUAAAUAAGAUGUUUAGUGACUACAAAUCAAGAUCUCCAUACAACCUCGAGAACAAACAAAGACUUUACCCCAUGAUCUUACACAUGUUGAUAGAAUUCUUGGUAAAGAUCGCCCUAUAGAUCAACUGGACUGAGGGCGAAGACGAAUAGGGUAGAAAAGCCCCACGACGAUCGUCUUGGGAGGUUCCUUUCUCCUCUGGUGCUCCGCUUCGCGUGGUUUCUCGUAGAUCCAAUCUUCUCUCCAUUUUUCCUACUUGUGACGGUGGUGGAUGGUGUUUGCGUGGUGUUUUCUUCCCUCUAUCCAACUCUUCCUCCUUGAAGUCCAUGAGGGGGUAUUUAUAGUCUCCCAUAGGUGGUGGCUCUGAGUCAAUGUCGAUGAAAAAACUCUAGAGAUCAUCGUAGACUUCACGCUGAAGAAACGGAAGGUCGAUCGGACCCUGGAAUAGGCUAGGCUGAUCGGCCUGGGCCCUUCCUGGCUCUUCUGGUCCUCUCCUUCCUCGUGCUGGCUUCCCUUGACGACCCAUGUCCAAAUAUCCAUUAAUCUCUUUAUGCAAACUCCCUUAAUUAUGUCGUAUUUCUUGUCAUAAUGCAAUAUACUCCAAAAUACAACACAUAUGAAAUAAUUGAGUUAUUUCAGGUGCCAAAUGACGGGUUAGUAUAGGAUCAAGCAUGAAAACACGAGUUAAAUGGCACUAAAAGUAUGUCAAUAACGAGCGUCAACCAUCACGUGCUACGAGUCAAUCAACGUAGGCUUGUAAGGACGGGUCAAUCUAAAUCAUAAGUUUAGCUCAUAAUCAAACAAAGCAGGGGAUAUUUGGAUUGGUUAAAAUAGGAGAGCUAACCCAUGAAUUAAAAAUAGGCUAAUUAAGGGAUAAUCAGGACUAAUAGACUCUGACCACCAAUUAACCUUUAUUUGCACAAUUAGCUAAUCAAUUAGUCCAUAUUUAGUCCUUCUAUUUGGCAUAAAAAAUAGGGUUAAAGUUUAGCCCAUGUGAUCCAAACCCAUCCUAAAUAGGGCUCUGCAUCUAUUUUACAUGUGCGAUUGUUCAAUUUUGUUUGAAAUCCAACUUACUUCAAACUUUGUGCGAUUGUUGAAGUUUUGUUUGAAAUCCAACUUAUAUUUCUCAAUUUCAGGUGCAAUUCAAAACCAUCGCGAGUUCCUUUUGCGCCUCAGCGGCAGCGGCCCAGCCGCCACUUCACUUCCAGAAAACACAAAGCCAGCCGUCUCGAUCCAUCCAUCCGUCCGAAGGCGAGAGUUAUCUCGUGCCUUCCCCCGCCGUUCUCCACCCCCGCAUCCGAUAGCUAGCGCGAGCAAAACCCCCUCUCCCUCCUCCGGCUCCGCGCCCAUGGCUGCCCUCCUCCGCACGGCCGCCGCCCUCGCGCCCCCGCCCUCGUCGCCGCUGUCGGCGCGGGAGCCGCAUGGGCGGUGCCUGACUCUCGCCUGUUCCCGCCGCGCGCCGGCGCGGCCGCUCCGGGCGCGGCUGCUGCCGACUCCGCACGUCCUUGGUCGCGCCGGGGCCCGGUUCCGGCGCCUGAGCGCCACCGAGGCCGAUGAGGCGGCGCAGACGGCGACUCAGGUGAGGGGGGAUGUGUUCUGUCCUGUAGCUCCUGUAACCUCUGUCGUUCCCUUGUACCCGAUGAACGGACGGUUAGUUUAGUUGUGAAGAAUAGCGGUUAGAUUCCUGAUAUCCUUAGCGUCCUGUAUGAAAUUGAAAUAGAAAAUAUGAAUUUGGACAACAUAUUGUUCAAUGUUCAUUCGGUGGGCACCCAAAGUUUACAUUUUAUCAGUUUAGCAAUGAUAUGAUCUGCGACUGCUUUGCAUUGGCGUCUGAGGACUAAUUGUUUGCCUUUACAUUGCUUUACCAUUGACUGUUUAGGUGCCUAGCCUGUUCAUACAAUUUAUUGUUAAGCCAUACCUUUUUCUUUUUUCCCUACGAUUUGAUUUUGUGACCAGAGAUUCAUGAGUGCUGUGAUUGGGGAAUGGGCAGAGCAUUCCUUCCUGAAUUGUUUUAUGUUCAGUUGGAAACCUGUCCAUACAUGCUAUAUGGUAGAUUAUUUUUGUGGUAUGAAGAUUUCCAUUUUGCCUUCUUUCAUGGCCAUUACUGGAUCUUGGCUAGUCUUGAUCAGUGAUAGAAGGUCAAUUCCACCUUUAUUCAAGAAGACCCUGAUUUUGGCAAUGUAGCACAGUUGUGAUACUUAAAUUAGAUAGUCUUGUUUCCCACGUCAGUUAUUCUUUUGUUGGAGACAAUAAUAGUCGUGUUAUGUUAAUUUAUCAUUCAUAUUCUGUAUAAGCCCAUUUACUUCUAGAUUCAUACUCACUCUAAUCUAAAUGUGAAUUAUAAAGUUCAACCAAUACUGAGAUUGAAGUAAGUAAUGCAGCCACUUCGAUGGUGUAAUGGCAAUAACUGCCCCCACCUGCAUGCCCAUGCACUUGUACUUAUUCAUCAAGCUGAUAGUCUCCUGUUUGGUCCUUUGAGUAAAGCAAAACACACAAUUUAGUUGCUUGAGGACAUUGAUUUGUUGUAUUUCACUAAGAAUGCUACCCAAGUUAUUAUCUUGCAAUUUUGUUAGAGGUUUUUUGGAUUUUCAAAAUGUACAGUAAGGUACUGAUUUGCUUAACACGGUGUAAAAAAACUCGACUAGAAGGAUAGAUGCCCCUCUGAUUUCAUCAUAAAGAAGAGUAUCUCGGCUUCGAACCCGGGCCGGUUAUGGGGUUUCAUUGACCCCGGGAGUUCAUUGCUCUACUGUUGCGCCGCGAGAAGCUUUGGUUUGCUUCACACACUGUACAAAUAGCUAAAUUGCAGACUGUACUCUAGUGCAGGGAUGCAAACUUUUUAAUGCAAUUGCUCUUUUCUGCAGAUUAAUUAAUUGAAAGAAAACCUUAUCUUAUGUUAGGUUGGAAAUUUCUCUAAAGAUGACAUUAGCGCAAUUGAUUUUACCGUCAAUGCUUCUGUAAAAGCUAACAAAGUUGAUUUUAUUGCAAUUUUAUCCACAUCCAUGCACAUAUAGUUUGUUUAUAGGAUGUUUGAUCUUUUACUUAUGAUGAAUCUAUUUUUGAUGCUGCAGGAGGAUUCAGAAACUGAAGUUACUGGAGAUAGUGCUGCAGAUGAUGGUGCUGGGAGCACAGAUGAAACUCCAUCUAUCAUUGUGACAGCCCUGCAGUCAUACAAAGAAGCACUGAUCAAUGACGAUGAAGCAAAAGCUGCCGAGAUAGAGGCCUUUUUGCUUUCUAUAGAGGAUGAGAAAAACUCCUUUAUGAACAAAAUCACUGUUUUAGAUGCAGAACUGGCAACUCAACGAGAACGUAUCUUGAGGAUUAGUGCUGAUUUCGAUAAUUUCAGGAAAAGGACAGAAAAUGAGAAGCUCAACAUGAUGUCAAAUGUGCAAGGGGAGCUUAUAGAGAACUUUUUGCCUGUUCUUGACAACUUUGAAAGAGCAAAAUCACAGAUAAAGGUGGAAACAGAGGGAGAGGAGAAAAUAAAUAAUAGCUACCAGAGCAUUUAUAAGCAAUUUAUUGAGAUUCUGAACUCAUUGGGUGUUGAAGAUGUUGAAACUGUUGGCAAACCAUUUGAUCCUAUGGUAAGUUAGCCUCAGCACACAUCCACUAGAUAAAAUCCUAAUAUUGGCAUAUUCCACUUAAAGUUUUAUUUUUUACUGCAUAUCUACUCCUGUGUAAUCAGGUGGUAGAGUCUGUUGACUGUUUUGACUUCGGCUACAGAAAUGCUAAAUCUUUAUAGGCUUCUUUGUCCAUCCGAUGGUUUUGAUGGUUUUCAUAGUCGACCCUUGAAAAUGAUUUCUUUUGCACCUUGCGUUUCAGCUUCACGAGGCUAUCAUGAGAGAAGAAUCAACGGAGUAUGAAGAGGGGAUCAUCCUCCAGGAAUUCAGGAAGGGUUUCAAACUCGGGGAAAGACUACUUCGCCCGGCAAUGGUCAAGGUAUCUGCAGGACCAGGCCCAGAAAAGUCUGGGGAUGAUGAGGACCCCACAGAGGUCGAAGAUAGUGUGGCACCUCUUAAGGUUGAAGAUGCUGAAGAUGAUGACGGCGAUGCGGAGUAGCGGUGCUUAAUCUGUGGAUCAACAAGAACAGGUCCAGAAAUUUUGAUGCGUUUUUGGAGUGUGCCAAGCAGGUGAUAGGAUAGUACCGAUUUGUCCAAGCUAGAGUUAGGCCCUCAAAUAUGCUCUUCCUUCCUGUUAUUACUGACUUGGGGUGUUGGUACUGCCACAAAUUUGUGUUUCCACCGGCCGUGGUCGAUGUUUUGUUCUUGCACAGAGGAAUUUUCUUGAUUCAUUGAUGCAACAGCAUUAUUAUAAGGAGUAAAUUAGCUCAGAUUUGUGAUUGAUUUUGCAAUAUCUGAAUUCCAAGAUAUUUGCGGCAACGUUCCUUCACUGGCGCAAGGUUCAUUUGUGGCCGGCCCGAAUGGCACCCGUCUGUCCAUGGCAAAUAAAGCAGCACGAGAAGUUUGAGGGGACGUUUGGAUACGAGGUGCUAACUUUUAGCAGGGUCACAUCGGAUAUUCGAUGCUAAUUAGGAGGAUUAAACAUGAGCUAAUUACAAAACUAAUUGCACAGAUGGAGUCUAAUUCGCGAGACAAAUCUAUUAAGGCUAAUUAAUCCAUCGUUAGCAAAUAGUUACUGUAGCACCACAUUAUCAAAUCAUGGACUAAUUAGGCUUAAUAGAUUCGUCUCGCGAAUUAGACUCCAUCCGUGCAAUUAGUUUUGUAAUUAGACUAUGUUUAAUACUCCUAAUUAGUAUCAAACAUCUGAUGUGACAGGUGCUAAAGUUUAAUAAGGUAUUCAAACACCCCUGAACGAAAAUUGGACAUAGCAAAGAUAAGUUCCUAUGCUUCAUAAUUAAACUGAUUGAUCUCGUAUGAUAGCUCAGAUGGACAGAAACAGUGCACGUUGGAAGGGUUUUUGUGUUUUUUUUGGGGAGAGUGGAGGGCAUGAACGGAAAUCAAGAAGCUGUGCGCGCGCGUAAAACCAGCCCACGAAAAUAGCUGUGGGCCGUUCCCAUCACAUGGGCUUAAUGCCCAUACCGGCCCAGCCCGACUCGCCCGCGCCACUCGCCCACCACACGCUUUAUAAAAGCAAAACCGCAGCCGCUAGGGUUUCUCUCGUCCGCCGGCGUCGCUCCGCUCCGCAUCUCCAAGCAGGUACUCCCGUUCGCCUCCUCCUACUCUUGGCUUUGAUCUGCGAAAUCGUGGCUAGCGUGGGGAAUAGCUGAAGGGGAACGAGAGGACGCCGCCGCCGCUGCCUACCGGCCGGCGGCGCGGCGAUCUGCGGGUGAGCCGAAGUCGGCCCGGCUCGCGUCCUCACCCUACCUCCCCUCCCUAUCUCCCCUUUAGUUCUUAUAUGUAGACAAGUUUAGGUGUAUGUUUACAUGUAAGUUUUGUUAGCCAUUGUAGUUACAGACUGUAACCAGGGAUGAUUUGUUUAGACCUUUAUUUACUUGGACGCAGAUUAGGUCAGAAAUUUAAAAUGUUUUGUUUCGUCCAUUUUACAUCAUUAGCUGGUGGAUGUAGCAAUGUUGUUAUAUUUAUGAGCAAAGUUUUUGUUCUAAUUGGCUUUAUUGUUAUCCUAUUUUUCAUUGGGUAGUUCAAAUGCCUCAUCUGCUCAUAGUUUGGUAUUCCUUUCCAUUGCUUUUGUUUCUUAUAUUCCCCUUCUGUUCCCCCCGGUGCAGGUUGAGAAGCCUGCCCUGUUGAGAAGCUGCAAUGGCGCCUAAAGGUAAAGAAUUUCUUCAUGGCCUUUGUUGUUGUCUGAACUUAACAGCCCUGUGUUUGUAAUCUAUUAGCUCGUCACAAUCUCUUAAUAAAAAUGAUCAGCUGUCUUAUAUAAUUAUGCAAUAGCAAUUUAAAUUUGGUGAUCACACACAUAAGUUCAUUGUCAUCCUAUUUUGUUUUGAAGUUCUUAUCAUAAUUGAUAUUACUGAUACUGAUAAUUAUGCCCUUCACUGUUUAUUUUAUGCUUUGGGCAAUGUGCUUGGAAAUAUUCAAUCCUAAUUGAGUGCAGUUGUUGAAAUUAUUUCCUUGUUUGCUGAAUGCUUUGCUUAUUACUACGAGAUGCACCUGCUGUUUUAGACUGAGACAUCUCAUCUUGUAUUUUUUAAUUGUUUAGCUCCCCCAAAGAAGGCUGACACCAAGGCUCAAGCCUUGAAGGUUGCCAAGGCUGUUAAGUCUGGAACCACCAAGAGGAAGGCCAAGAAGAUCCGCACAUCUGUGACGUUCCACCGGCCAAGGACCCUUAAGAAGCCAAGGGACCCCAAGUACCCAAGAAUCAGUGCACCUGGGAGGAACAAGCUUGACCAGUACCAAAUCCUCAAGUACCCCCUCACGACUGAAUCUGCGAUGAAGAAGAUUGAAGACAACAACACCCUUGUCUUCAUUGUUGACCUUAAGGCGGACAAGAAGAAGAUUAAGGCAGCCGUCAAGAAGAUGUAUGACAUCCAGGCGAAGAAAGUCAACACUCUGAUCAGGUAAAUUGAUCUGUCUUCCAUGUUUUGUGAGAAUGCAAAUUGCCAUGUCUUGAGUGAUAUUCUGAGUAAUUUCUUGUUUCACAGGCCUGAUGGGAAGAAGAAGGCUUACGUGAAGCUUACACCAGACUACGAUGCUCUUGAUGUGGCCAACAAGAUCGGCAUCAUCUAAAUUUUGUGGUUUUGUGUGUCAGUGUGUUGCAGUUUCUGAGUUUUGGUGGUCUAGGUCUUACUGUU